GUCGGUCACACACCAGGACCGGAGCCUCCCACCACCUACUCCGACGCUCAGCAAGGUCAAUCCUCAGGCCUGUACCGUUGGACUUUUUGAUCCGUUGCAUUUCGGACACACUCAGUGACCACUCUAUUAUGUAUGGCAUUGAACUGCUGCUGCUAAGUUAACAAAUUUCAUGUCACAUGCCGGUGAUAAUAAACCUGAUUCUGACUCUUCUCCGACGGGGCACUCCAGAAAUCCCCCCUCUUGGGGUCCAGCACCAGCGUGAUUUCCCCAGUCCUCCUGCGUAUUGAAGUUCCCCAUGACAUUGCCCUUUUGGGUUCCAUUUUCUAAAUCCUGAUGAGAAUCCCAGGAGACUCAAACCAGUAAUCAUUUCACGGUCAACGUCACUUAGAUCACAUUCCUUCACGAGUCUGAUGUUUGGCCGGAACGCCUUCUGAACCUCUGGGCCAUGUCGGCAUGCUUUUAUGCAUUGAGUUGCUGCCACAUGAUUGGCUGCUUAGAUCUUUGCAUUAGCGAGUACCUAAUAAAGUGGCCACUGUGUGUCGGUUUAUGUUUUAACGUCAGUAGGGAUGUUGGCUGGGCCUCCAUCCAUCUGUGACGUCUUGAAUGUGGUUAGAUAUUACAGAGAAGUUUCCCAGGGGCCUUAUCCAGGUCUGGUCGAACACCCCCCACUUGCCUGGGUGGAGUUAGUCCAGGCGCUCAACAUCUGCCCAGUACCUCUCCCCUGCCUACAAGGCACAGGUCCGGACUGUGAUGGGACAUUCUCCACUUAACCACGUUUGGAAAUCCACCGUUCUGUUGCAGUCCCUCCUCUUUGCCGCCCCCACAGCACCUCAUCCUCGCCAGCCCUCCUACUCCCAGGAAGGAGAGAUCUCUCUGCUCCCACUCCGUGAACUGACUCUCGGAAGCAGGGACAGCCCUGCCCGAGAAGGGGAGACACUCGGUAUCGAAUGAACUUCACAAGCGGCGAUGUGGAUACGGCAGCGGGAAAGGUUGCUGCAAUAAUCCGGUUUUCCCGCGGAACGCAGGGAAGCUGGGUACAUUCUCUGGGCACAGCGGAAGGCUCUCCCCUCUCCGGUAGCAGACCGAUCAAGAGACGGGCAGCCGCGCUCACUUUCCGCAUUCGCCUCAAUGUUUCCAUCUGCCUCGGCGCUCCAAUCGGCGAAAUGGAUUCGAACGUCGGUUCAGUCCCCGUCCGCGCACGUUGUCCCUCCCUUCCGAGGUCCUGCACAGCACUGGAACACCCAAACCAUCUCCAAACACCAAAUCACAGACUCCAGCAGUUCCAGAAUCACAUCCAAGAUGAGAAAACAAAGGAGAGAUUCUGCAGAUGCUGGAAAUCUGGAGCAACGCCGACGGGAUGCUGAAGGAAAUGAGCAGGCCGGGCGGCCCCCAUGGAAAUGACGUUUCUGCUGGAGCCCCUUCAUGAGGACUGGAAAGGAGCCAGAAUAGAAAGGGGUGGAAAGGAAGGGCGUUCAAGCUGGCGGGUGAUAGGGGAGGGCUGGUGAGGGGUAAGGCAGCUGGAAUGAAGUGAGAAGCUGGGAUGUGAUAGAUGGAGAGCCAAAAUGCCAAAGGAGAAGAAGGAAUCCAGAAACUAUUUCUCUCCUUCUACCUGCUCCGUCUUCUCUCCAUGUCACGGUGGGGGCUGACAAUGACUGAACCCGGGUGCAGAGGAACCCAUUUAGAGACAUAAACAAGAGGUUUUACAUGGGAAUUCCAACAGCGACAAGGACCCUGCGGUAAGCACU